rnacentral:rRNA from 1 species
AUACGAGGGGUGCAAGCGUUAAUCGGAAUUACUGGGCGUAAAGCUUUCGUAGGCGGUUUGUUAAGCAAGAUGUGAAAGCCCAGGGCUCAACCUUGGAACUGCAUUUUGAACUGGCAAACUAGAGUACUGUAGAGGGUGGUGGAAUUUCCAGUGUAGCGGUGAAAUGCGUAGAGAUUGGAAGGAACAUCAGUGGCGAAGGCAGCCACCUGGACAGAUACUGACGCUGAGGAACGAAAGCGUGGGGAGCAAACAGGAUUAGAAACCCUAGUAGUCC